rnacentral:tRNA from 2 species
GGGCGCCCCGGUGCUGGGCAGCACGGUGGUGGCGUCGGCGCCGCCGACCGGCGGCAGCACGCUGGUCAUCGCGUUCGGGUCGUAGGCGUCCA